rnacentral:rRNA from 2 species
CGACGACCUCAGAAUCAGGC